CAGUUUCAAUUUCAACUUAAUUAAUUGAAACAACAACAAUAAUAAUAACAAUAAUAACAACAAAAUAAUCACAACAAAUUAUAAUCUUAAUUCUUAUAUCAAAUCAAGCAGCCGUCGAACUGUCCUCUGGGGAGGUCCACACGAUGUCCUUCAGCGCCGGUCUCAGCUCCUUGCUGCAGAACUGGUUGUACUCCAACGUAUCACCAUUGUCCUUCUUCACCUCCACCACCACAAACGACGGCGUCAUCGCGAAUAUCUCCGCCGCAAUCGCCAGUUUCCCCUUCCGUCCGCUCUCCUCCCCCUGCAGCCUCACCAUAGAGUCGCUCUUCUUGAUCCUGAACUUGCCAGCCUUGGCUACCUCCUCCAGCGUCGAUAUCACGCUGCUCGCCGGCAGCGUCGUAGCGAAACGCAGCUCCUCCUUCUCCUCCCUCUUCUUCUCCUCGAACAACGGCGACAAAUCGAACCCCUCCGACAACGAUAUGAUAUGAAACGCGUUUAACGUCUCCGUCUGCUUCCACGUUAUCUUCUCGCUCGUCUCGUCGAAUUCCUGCUCUUGUUUCGUCCGCACGAUCUUCGGCACCGAU
rnacentral:lncRNA from 1 species